GAUGAAGAACGCAGCGAAAUGCGAUAAUUAAUGUGAAUUGCAGAAUUCAGUGAAUCAUCGAAUCUUUGAACGCACAUGGCGCCUUCCAGUAUCCUGGGAGGCAUGCCUGUCCGAGCGUCGUUUCAACCCUCGAGCCCCCGUGGCCCGGCGUUGGGGAUCUGCCACGGCAGGCCCCUAAAACCAGUGGCGGACCCGAAGGCCCUCUCCUUUGCGCAGUAGCAUCAGCCUCGCAUUGGGAUCCCUCGGCGUCCUGCCUCUAAACCCCCCACAAGUCCGCUCCGGCGGCACCAAGGUUGACCUCGGAUCAGGUAGGAAUACCCGCUGAACUUAAGCAUAUCAAUAAGCGGAGGA
rnacentral:misc_RNA from 1 species